rnacentral:lncRNA from 1 species
GCAGCUGGGGAACUUUGGAAUUUCUUUAAGAAGCUAAGAGAUGUCUAUGAGGCAGCGUUUCUGAUUUAUACAUUAUUCUCUCCACGGAGGUACAACCGGCAAAACUCCAGGCACCUGGGAAAGCGCGGGGCUGUUCGCGGGUCGUCAGGCCGGGCUGCUCCGUUGGCUCAGCUGUUAAUACAGGCCAAGAGCUUCAGGCGCUUUCCAAUCCUGGCCCGGACAGGCAGGUUUAAUCCUCUCAUGUGCUGUGCAGGAACUUCUGCCUGAACUAGCUGCUCCUGCUCACUGAGGCGCACAAAGGCGGUCACACUGAAAUGAGCUUAUGUGUGGAGAUGACUGUUCAGAGCAGAGCCCGAGCUGAAGGGUAUGCUUCCUGGCCUGAGGCAUAAACACCACAUGUAUUUUUUCCCUUUCAGAAGGGAUAUUUUUCAUGCUCGUAAUGAAGUGUGGUCAGAACCUAUUUUCUUCUAGAAUAUUAGGUCAGGCAGAGGUUUGUCCUUCUUCUGUUUUGUACAUGCGAAUAAAAAUGGAAUAAACAAAGCAUACCGUUAAAUCUUUCACACAUAUGUCACUAGAGACAAUUCUAGAGCAGACUUUUUUCUGGGUUCCUCGUUGUUGGUUUAAGGGGAAAGGCAAGAGACUAGACUGCAUGCCUUUAGCCGUAUCUUCACGGUCUUUGGGUUGGGAAAAACAGAGAAAUCGUUUCUAAAAAUUAUCAGGAUUUCCACUUGGAAGUUAUUAGGUUUGGAGAAUAUGAGACUGCAAGAUGCUAAAAAUACAGAUUUUUUUUUUUUGUCUUACUUAUGAGGAGUCCCAUUUCUGUGACUUCUUUCCAAUUGACUGAAGAAUCAAGAAAAAUGUUAGAGACAGGCUUAAACCUCCCCUGUGGGGCGGCUCUGGCAAAGGCGUUUUCUGCGUCUGAAAUUCCCCAAGCCCUUACAUUGCAGAAGAUGAAGUGUGUGUGUGC